rnacentral:rRNA from 1 species
GGGUUGUGAGGUUAAGCGACUAAGCGUACACGGUGGAUGCCCUGGCAGUCAGAGGCGAUGAAGGACGUGCUAAUCUGCGAUAAGCGCCGGUAAGGUGAUAUGAACCGUUAUAACCGGCGAUUUCCGAAUGGGGAAACCCAGUGUGAUUCGUCACACUAUCAUUAACUGAAUCCAUAGGUUAAUGAGGCGAACCGGGGGAACUGAAACAUCUAAGUACCCCGAGGAAAAGAAAUCAACCGAGAUUCCCCCAGUAGCGGCGAGCGAACGGGGAGGAGCCCAGAGCCUGAAUCAGCAUGUGUGUUAGUGGAAGCGUCUGGAAAGGCGCGCGAUACAGGGUGACAGCCCCGUACACAAAAGCGCAUGUGCUGUGAGCUCGAUGAGUAGGGCGGGACACGUGGUAUCCUGUCUGAAUAUGGGGGGACCAUCCUCCAAGGCUAAAUACUCCUGACUGACCGAUAGUGAACCAGUACCGUGAGGGAAAGGCGAAAAGAACCCCGGCGAGGGGAGUGAAAAAGAACCUGAAACCGUGUACGUACAAGCAGUGGGAGCACCCUUUGGGGUGUGACUGCGUACCUUUUGUAUAAUGGGUCAGCGACUUAUAUUCUGUAGCAAGGUUAACCGUAUAGGGGAG